UACUGACACACACACACACACACAACACACACAUCUACACUGAAAUAAUUCCCCUAAAAUACCUGAAAACAGCUUCCAGAGCAGUCCUGGUACUAAGUGUGUAUUCUGCUCUCCAGCAGACAUGACAGAAGCAAGUUUUGCUGGGAGGCAGUUUGCAGUAAUUUCCCCUGACAGCCCAAUAAUCAAACUCUGCUCACAAUCUGCACCUCGAACCACAGCACUCUCUAUUGACUGCUGCUAGUGGGAGCAUAUGUCCUAAAGGCAUGGUCCAAAGGGAAAGUGCUAACGUCACGUUAGAAAAACAGAGAGACUGUAAUAGAUACAGAAGAUCUGGAAGCGGCGUUCAGGUCUGUCACUCAGCAGCCCCUUAUGAAUGUGUGUGUUCCUAUCACUAAACAAAUCAGCCAGUGGAGCGUGCCACUUUAAGAAAAUAUUUAUCGCACAGUGCAUAGAUUAUCAAAAUUACUCGAAAAAAAGCCACAGAGUAAACUGACGCUACCCUGAAUAAACUGGGUUGUGAGAUCAGGUAUUUUACUUUUUUUUUAAAAGAGUAAAAUAAAGAAAAGAAAAUCUGUCAGCGAUGGCGAACGUGGGCUGUAAUUAAAGAGUAAAUUUCAAAAAUCUGCAAACCAGAGAGAUAAAAACACAUGCUCAAACAUCACAAAAAACGAAGGAAUCGGACUCAAUGUUGCAAAAAAUUAAAUCUAAAGACAAUGAAAGAUCUCUGAACCUACGUGUGUGUGUGUGUGUGUGUGUGUGUGUGUGUGUGUGUGUGUGUGUGUGUGUGUGUGUGUGUGUAGCAGGCAGGGGGCCUAGGGGGGUGAAGAACGCAGGCAGACGGCCUUGGUUUGCCUGGUUACAACAACACUGCCAGGGGCAUGAAGGCUGCAGCUGCCACACACACACACAAACACACACACACACACACACACGCACAACACAAAACCAUAUUUCGCCCAACCCCAGGCAUGCCCACCAUCACCACCCUCACACCCCAGCGCUCCAGCUAAAUCUUGGCUGGCACAAAACCGCACUCAAGAAUAUGUGUGUGUGCCUGAAGGCCAUGCCCCUCGUCCUCUUCCACCAACCUGUCAUGCCAGUUGUUGCUCUCGCUAACAUGUGCAUCUGACAUGGGAACGCGAUUGCUGACGCUGCGGGGUUUUGAUCGGGAUGAGACCGACAUGCAUUCCCUCACUGUCUUUUGAUUUUCUUUGCUUUUUGUUUACGGCCACCUGGCAAUUUCCACAGACUUUAUUCUGUAAAGGCACAGCGGAUUUCACAUGUGAGCGUCACGCUUGAAAGUCAGUUUCAUUUCCAGAUCCACGACACAGAAGAUCACCAUCCCCUGAAUAAACAGAUAAAGAAAUUACAUAUACUGGAUAUUAAAGAAGUAUAUUGUUUAUGGGCAAUUUCUAAAGCAGGAUAUAGUUGAUGUUUUUCUGUAAUUUAGAACUGAAGAAAUCCUAACAAUCAAAUCAUUUGCAAAAUCCUCUAAGAUCCAGUAAUCUUUAAAUAUGUAUAUUUUAACUGGAGCGGCUUUGGUGCACCGCACUUCUAUCAAACAGAGGAAAAUAGAAAUUGUGAAGACAGAAAUGGCGAUUAAACAAAUGUCGGGUGAAUUGGCAUCUAAUCGUCAAACUAAAAAAAAAAAAAAUCAUCUGUGAAGCAGCCUCUGUUAAAACUGCUCUUUUCCCCCAUUAGUUUCCAGCUCACAGCUGUUCCCCUGCAGUGCUGAGCACAGUGUGAAGAUCAGGAGGGGAAGAAAAAAAAAGUGUCUUAGAUGUUACUAGCCUGCCAGAUGUUCCAUGAACAGUCACAUGAAAGUUGCAACUCAUCUGUCGCAGUCCUGCAAAACCAAUAUUCAGCACUUAUUAAGGGAACAACAUACAGGAGGCAGCGAUCCUAUAGCAGUUCAGUUUUUAUUCCUUUUAUUUUUUUGAGCACUGCACUGUGAACAUUUAUAUUCAUGCACGCUGAAUAACAGCGUGAAUAUAAUAACCUAAAGUCUGUCAGGUCAGCUUCUUCUUCUAAGAGCACGGCAUGAAGUGAAAAAUACUUUUCAGCAUCUGAUCACCAACAUUAAAAAAUACUAUACUUUACUUAAAAAUGUUUGUUUUUGUUCAUUGAUUUUUUAAUUUGGCUUCUCUUGUGUUUGUUACUACAAAGCCAUGUUAACUAAUCAUGCUUUUAUUGUGAAGUCUUUAUUUAACAGGUGCAAGAAAAUGAGUUUUAAUGACAUUUUUGUUCUAAAAGAAAAGAUCAGCACUCUUAAACCUUUAUAUAAGAUUUAAAAACACUAAAACAGCAUUUAUAUUAUUACUGUUUUUUUUAUUUUCAAAUACAAUUACUUGAUAUUACUGCUACAUUUACAUUGCAUGCUGUGGUGCUUUAAAGUUUUUAGCUUUACAUUAAAGUAAACAUAAAGUUGAGAUUAAAAGAAAAUAAACAUCAUGUCUGCUUCUUGCGCUGAUUGUAACAAAACCCAUAAAUAUCCAGCUUACCUAAGUAUUAAGUUAUUAUCAAUAAAUUAAAAUUUAAAAAGGUCUGUGCAAAAAAUCUUAAUUGCAGAUAAAGUGGGGCUAGUAUUAGGCCGUCAGCUGUGCUGUACCCAAUAAAACAUCUGUAACAGACACAAACUUGGUAAAUCUGUUUGUCUUUUUUCAUCUUAAGACCUUUCGGUGCCAUCACCUUCCGUAUGAUGUAAUUUCAUAUUGUUAAUAUCAAUUAUUUUCCUUCAUCAUUUCAGGUGCUUUUUCUUUCAUUCCGGUAAAGCGUCCCAGACAGCAGUUCACCAGCGUAAAACGAAAGGCUCCUGGCCAGUAUUUAUAAUUAAAAAUAAAAUCUGGAAAGAGUUUAGGAAGGGAUGUUAGAAAUAUAUUCACGAUCUGACGAAGCUGUAAACAGCUCUGAACGGGCACAGAAGUCGUCUCUGCUUUCAUUUCUGCAUUAACAGAGGUGUCGGUGCUGCUGCAGGCUGGGAAAUCAUCUAUUUAAUGUCAGAGUUGUUUGCUGCCGUGAGGCCUCCUGACUGUUUUAAGCCGUGUGUUUGAGCGUUUGCUUUGCUGGCAUUAAAGUGUUUCUGCUGAUGUUACUUUUAACAUUUUUUCUAAAGAAGGGGCAGGUGCUUCUGCUCGAGUUUUCUACUUGUAGUUUUAUGAAGUAGUGUUAGAGUCACUGACUGGGGCUUGAGAUGUGACGCUUUGCACAGUUAACGCUCCAGCUUGCAAGCCUCUGGCUACAGCCUGACAUCUGAGCUGCAAAUCUGUGCGUCUGUGUGUGCGUGUGUGUGUGACAGAGCUGUAAAGCCACCGUUUGACAAUGCUCUUUCAGCAGGCCGCCCUGCAGUCGCUCCCGGCUACGGGAGCCAGCUGGGCCAUGCGGAGACAGAAACGAUGAGAAAGGAAGAAGAGGAAGAUGAAGGAGGAGGGAGACGACUGAUCAGCGCCAUCCAGAGGUAAGAACGCAAGUAUGAGUGAGGAACGAAAAGGAGGCAGUGUCUUAAAACGGUUAAUACUUCCUCACGUUUGCUUUUGUAAAAAUUUGAAAUGUAAAGUUAAAUAUUUGAAAUGUUUGUACAGUAGCUGCUAACAAACCACAUUCUGACUACCCAACUACCUACCUGUGAUCAGUGCUUUAUGAUAAAAACCUGAAAGGCAAGGGGCUGCUGUUAUGUGAAAAAUAAAAAUCUGUGAAAAAACAGCUAUGUGUGAUCAGUAAAAAAAAAAAAAA